rnacentral:rRNA from 1 species
GACGCCCGCUGGCGGCGUGCUUAACACAUGCAAGUCGAACGGAGUGGCGAACGGGGGAGGAAAACGGGGGUGAUCUGCCUUGCACUUCGGGAUAAGCUUGGGAAACUGGGUCUAAUACCGGAGAGUGCAAGAUGAGCUCGCGGCCUAUCAGCUUGUUGGUGGGGUAAUGGCCUACCAAGGCGUCGACGGGUAGGCGGCCGGAGAGGGUGGACGGCCACAGUGUGACUGAGAUACGGCCCAGACUCCUACGGGAGGCAGCAGUUGGGAAUAUUGCACAACGGGCGGAAGCCUGAUGCAGCGACGCCGCGUGGGGGAUGAAGGCCUUCGUGUUGUAAACUCCUUUCGACAGGGACGCGGUCCCUGUAUCCUCUGCCCCUGCUAACUACGUGCCAGCAGCCGCGGUCCUAC